AUUGAACGCUGGCGGAAUGCUUUACACAUGCAAGUCGAACGGCAGCACGGGGGCAACCCUGGUGGCGAGUGGCGAACGGGUGAGUAAUACAUCGGAACGUGCCCGGUCGUGGGGGAUAACGUAGCGACAGUUACGCUAAUACCGCAUACGAUCUGAGUAUGAAAGCGGGGGACCUUCGGGCCUCGCGCGUUCGGAGCGCCCGAUGUCAGAUUAGGUAGUUGGUGGGGUAAAGGCCUACCAAGCCGACGAUCUGUAGCUGGUCUGAGAGGACGACCAGCCACACUGGGACUGAGACACGGCCCAGACUCCUACGGGAGGCAGCAGUGGGGAAUUUUGGACAAUGGGCGCAAGCCUGAUCCAGCCAUUCCGCGUGAAGGACGAAGGCCUUCGGGUUGUAAACUGCUUUUGUAUGGAACGAAAAGGCUCUGGCUAAUACCUGGGGCUCAUGACGGUACCGUAAGAAUAAGCACCGGCUAACUACGUG
rnacentral:rRNA from 1 species